CAGUCGCCGCGGUAAUACGGAGGGUGCAAGCGUUAAUCGGAAUUACUGGGCGUAAAGCGUGCGUAGGCGGUUCGUUAAGUCUGUUGUGAAAGCCCCGGGCUCAGCCUGGGAAUGGCAAUGGAUACUGGCGAGCUAGAGUGUGUCAGAGGAUGGUGGAAUUCCCGGUGUAGCGGUGAAAUGCGUAGAGAUCGGGAGGAACAUCAGUGGCGAAGGCGGCCAUCUGGGACAACACUGACGCUGAGGCACGAAAGCGUGGGGAGCAAACAGGAUUAGAUACCCGCGUAGUCCCUGUCUCUUAUAC
rnacentral:rRNA from 1 species